UGGCGCGACGGCAGUUAAAAGCUUGAAAUUGAGAUUGUUGCAUUUGCCCCGCCUGUUUGUUCGUCAUUUCCAUUACAUUAUCAUCAUGACACCAACUCGCAAAUUUCGGCUCCAUUCUUUCCGUAUGGUGAAGAAAACACUUCCCACAACACCAUCACCCUUACAGUAAUGUGAAUUUUGGGGCCACUGUGCUAUUGCACAGCUUUAGAGCUCAACAGCUUAUGCGGUAUUUUGUGCACCACACAGACUGGCAGUUGUGGUGUUUGUGCAUUUAUUUGUUAGGCCCCUGCAAGCAAUACUAUAGUGGAUGAAGACUAUGUUGCGUGCAGUACUGAGAAGAAAUUGAAGAUGACGAGAUGACGAGAGCCCACAUCAGUAGAAGUAAAUCAUUUCAGAGCCAAAGGUGCUGCUCGUCUUUUUUUCGUUUUUUUUUUUUUCCUGUAUUGUUCGAAGUAACGACGGUUCAAAUUCUUUUACUGUGUUAAUGAGAAAACAGAAAAGAAACCCAUUCUGUCUAAUCUUCCUCAGAGCUAAAGAAUCUUCUUUUUCAAUGUGAACAGAUCGACAGUUCUGUGUUCUCAAGGUGCUUUGUAGCUGGCAAGAGCACAACUUAAUGGUCCAGUGCACCCCAAGAUAGGCGAACAUAAAAAAAAGCAGCUUGGGACUACAGGCAUGCAGAUGCCGGUGUCUUAGUGCAGCUAGUCAUCCCCACAACAUACAAAGAGGGCCGCAUAUUUGUGAAUCUAAGGAUGCUAAAAAGCUAGCAAAAAGGCUAUUUCUUCAGUUCUACUUUGUAAUUCUAUGGAGGAAGUUUGGCUACUCUACAGUACAACUAUCAUGGACAUACAUGAUUUGCAGCAGCUGUUAGGGUAGACAAUAGAAUGAAUGACUUUGCCUUGAGCCAGUGAGCUAGUCCUCAUUCCUUUCUAUUCAGAGCUGCUCCCACUGGAUUCUUUCCACAAGCUGGCGGUGCUUUUCGACACAAAGGCUCUUGGCAUGUUUCAUGUUUUCAAUUGCAAUGCAAGGUAUUAAAUGAAGGCAUGGACCGAGGGUACAUGUCCGAAUGUCCUCGACACUCCUUACUCCCCCCCUCAUCAGCAGUGAGUCUACUGUACAACUUUGAAUUGUACAGCAGACCCCCGCAGAGGGCGAUGCCAAGUACUUUGGUUGUGGCGAUUAACAGACAUCACUAAUCAGAUGGCACACGGGUAACCAUGGGUAUCGGUUUGGGACAAAUAAAUAAUUUACACAUCUUCUUUUUCAAUUGUUUAGAAGAAAACAAAGAAUAGAAAUCUGACAUUCAAACAACAGGCACACCCUAUUAGACAUGGGUAUAAUGCGAGUAAACGCACUACACUAUCACAAAAUUGUCAAUGCUGUGACAAAGAUGAUAAACACCCACAAACACCUGCAAUACUAUUGCUCAACGAAAAGUGAUGCUGAAGCCGGGACACAGCAGGCUUCCCUAACAAAUUGGUGGAGGCAUUGGAUCAACUACCAAGCACUCAUUUUGGAAUUUUGGACACACACUCUACAGCUGGCUAUCCCCGACGUUUACAGAGCGGUCAUCACAUCAUUCAUCAUCCCAAGUUGACAUGCUACACUUUCACGAAAUUGCCGAGGUUGUCAUUUCAAUACCAUUCAUCAUCAUUGUCUAAGAGCGUCUGACCCCAACGCCAGG